rnacentral:rRNA from 1 species
GCUACUGCGGAGGACAUUACACAAAUAUGAAGGCGGGCUGGAACCUCUCGGGGUUACAGCCUUGCUGAAUUAUUCACCCUUGUCUUUUGCGUACUUCUUGUUUCCUUGGUGGGUUCGCCCACCACUAGGACAAACAUAAACCUUUUGUAAUUGCAAUCAGCGUCAGUAACAAAUUAAUAAUUACAACUUUCAACAACGGAUCUCUUGGUUCUGGCAUCGAUGAAGAACGCAGCGAAAUGCGAUAAGUAGUGUGAAUUGCAGAAUUCAGUGAAUCAUCGAAUCUUUGAACGCACAUUGCGCCCUUUGGUAUUCCAAAGGGCAUGCCUGUUCGAGCGUCAUUUGUACCCUCAAGCUUUGCUUGGUGUUGGGCGUCUUGUCUCUAGCUUUGCUGGAGACUCGCCUUAAAGUAAUUGGCAGCCGGCCUACUGGUUUCGGAGCGCAGCACAAGUCGCACUCUCUAUCAGCAAAGGUCUAGCAUCCAUUAAGCCUUUUUUUCAACUUUUGACCUCGGAUCAGGUAGGGAUACCCGCUGAACUUAAGCAUAUCAUAACC